GCCAGUGUGGCGUAGUGGUUUGAGUGCUGGACUGUGACUCUGGAGGCCAGGGUUUGAUUCCAGCUCCACCA